GUCAGCUCGCGCGUGCCUCGUAAUGCAAGUGAUGCUUGUGGUUGUUUGCCCCGAGUUUCAUACAAAGGUGACCACGUGGGUAACCUGCCUGUAAGACUGGGAUAACUCCGGGAAACCGGGGCUAAUACCGGAUGGUUGUUUGAACCGCAUGGUUCAGACAUAAAAGGUGGCUUCGGCUACCACUUACAGAUGGACCCGCGGCGCAUUAGCUAGUUGGUGAGGUAACGGCUCACCAAGGCGACGAUGCGUAGCCGACCUGAGAGGGUGAUCGGCCACACUGGGACUGAGACACGGCCCAGACUCCACGGGAGGCAGCAGUAGGGAAUCUUCCGCAAUGGACGAAAGUCUGACGGAGCAACGCCGCGUGAGUGAUGAAGGUUUUCGGAUCGUAAAGCUCUGUUGUUAGGGAAGAACAAGUGCCGUUCAAAUAGGGCGGCACCUUGACGGUACCUAACCAGAAAGCCACGGCUAACUACGUGCCAGCAGCCGCGGUAAUACGUAGGUGGCAAGCGUUGUCCGGAAUUAUUGGGCGUAAAGGGCUCGCAGGCGGUUUCUUAAGUCUGAUGUGAAAGCCCCCGGCUCAACCGGGGAGGGUCAUUGGAAACUGGGGAACUUGAGUGCAGAAGAGGAGAGUGGAAUUCCACGUGUAGCGGUGAAUGCGUAGAGAUGUGGAGGAACAGCAGUGGCAAAGGCGACUCUCUGGUCUGUAACUGACGCUGAGACCAAAGCCUGGGGAACGAAACAGGAUUAGAUCCCUGGUCUUCCAAGUCCUUAAACGAUA
rnacentral:rRNA from 1 species